rfam:Pisolithus microcarpus 441 unplaced genomic scaffold scaffold_1, whole genome shotgun sequence.
UGCCCCAUGGCUGAGUUGGUUACAGCGUCCGACUGUUACUGUACCCAAACAUCGGAAGGUCGUGAGUUCGAGCCUCACUGGGGCAG